rnacentral:rRNA from 1 species
UACGUAGGGUGCGAGCGUUAAUCGGAAUUACUGGGCGUAAAGCGUGCGCAGGCGGCGCCGCAAGUCGAGUGUGAAAUCCCCGAGCUUAACUUGGGAAUUGCGCUCGAAACUACGGUGCUGGAGUGUGGCAGAGGGAGGUGGAAUUCCACGUGUAGCGGUGAAAUGCGUAGAUAUCUGGAGGAACACCGGUGGCGAAGGCGGCAUCCUGGACCGAUACUGACGCUGAGGAGCGAAAGCCAGGGGAGCAAACGGG